GUUAAAAACUUUAUUUUAUCUUCAUACAGCUUGUGUCAACAUGUGAAAGUGAACAGGUAAAAAAGGACUGAUUUGCAUCAUUAACACUGCAGUUGUGUUAAAAGCAAAAUAUGAAGAAACACAGAAUCAUUUAAGUUUCAUCACACCAUUUAAUUCCAACAGUCUGUAUGAAAAAACAUAGUACAGGAUAUACAAACAUUAGGAUCACCUUACUUCCUCUGAGCGGGAAAAUGCUGAGAAGACACCAGGAAACCGAGCAAACAUUCCUCAUCAGCAUUCUGCUAUAAUUUAACAGCCUCCAAGCUAAAAUUAAUUUACAAACGAGCCCUCAAACACAUUCGCAUCACUUAUUCAACCUGUCCGAUCAAGGCAAAGUGGUGCUUGAACGUUCACUUGGCUGAUCA